GUCCUCGUACGAUCACCGCAGUUAAGUAACGUAGAGCCUGUUCAGUACCUAGAUUAGUGACCACUUGGGAAUACCAGGCGCUGUAAG